rnacentral:rRNA from 1 species
AGAGUUUGAUCAUGGCUCAGAAUCAACGCUGGCGGCGGCCUAACACAUGCAAGUCGAGCGAGAAAGUGGAGCAAUCCAUGAGUACAGCGGCGUACGGGUGAGUAACACGUGGGUAAUCUACCUCUUAGUGGGGAAUAACCCUGGGAAACCGGGGCUAAUACCGCAUAAGCCUUAGCAGGGAAAGCAGCAAUGCGCUGAGAGAGGAGCCCGCGGCUGAUUAGCUAGUUGGUGAGGUAAAGGCCCACCAAGGCAUAGAUCGGUAGCCGGCCUGAGAGGGCACACGGCCACACUGGCACUGAAACACGGGCCAGACUCCUACGGGAGGCAGCAGUGGGGAAUCUUGCACAAUGGGGGAAACCCUGAUGCAGCGACGCCGCGUGAGCGAUGAAGCCCUUCGGGGUGUAAAGCUCUUUCGGCAGGGAAGAUGAUGACGGUACCUGCAGAAGCAGCUGCGGCUAACUACGUGCCAGCAGCCGCGGUAAUACGUAGGCAGCGAGCGUUGUUCGGAGUUACUGGGCGUAAAGGGUGUGUAGGCGGUUCUUUAAGUUUGGUGUGAAAUCUCCCGGCUCAACUGGGAGGGUGCGCCGAAUACUGAGGGACUAGAGUGCGGGAGAGGAAAGUGGAAUUCCUGGUGUAGCGGUGAAAUGCGUAGAUAUCAGGAGGAACACCGGUGGUGUAGACGGCUUUCUGGACCGUAACUGACGCUGAGACACGAAAGCGUGGGUAGCAAACAGGAUUAGAUACCCUAGUAGUCC